UCAGGAUGAACGCUGGCGGCGUGCUUAACACAUGCAAGUCGAACGGUGAAAGAGAGCUUGCUCUCUGGAUCAGUGGCGAACGGGUGAGUAACACGUGAGCAAUCUGCCCCUGACUCUGGGAUAAGCGCUGGAAACGGCGUCUAAUACCGGAUACGAGCUGCGAAGGCAUCUUCAGCAGCUGGAAAGAACUUCGGUCAGGGAUGAGCUCGCGGCCUAUCAGCUAGUUGGUGAGGUAAUGGCUCACCAAGGCGUCGACGGGUAGCCGGCCUGAGAGGGUGACCGGCCACACUGGGACUGAGACACGGCCCAGACUCCUACGGGAGGCAGCAGUGGGGAAUAUUGCACAAUGGGCGAAAGCCUGAUGCAGCAACGCCGCGUGAGGGACGACGGCCUUCGGGUUGUAAACCUNUUUUAGCAGGGAANAAGCGAAAGUGACG
rnacentral:rRNA from 1 species